rnacentral:lncRNA from 1 species
CUUUGAUGUAUGAUUGCGUUUAAUUGUAUGUCAAUAAUGCGGAUGUUGUUAUGUCUCUCGGGGUUUGAGUACGCCAGAUUUAGUCGUUGUAUUGAUGUAGCUUACGCCAUUCGGGAGGCGUUGUCAUGGCUAAAGGCUCUGCUCUUCGAUAAUGUGGCCAUUGGGUCUAAUUGCUUGGCUGUUAUGACUGCUUGCACUCCGCCAAUAAUUGAUGCAUCUGAGCUAGGUGUAUUGUUACAUGAUUGUUUAGUGCUGAAAGAUUAGUUUAAGCAUCUGUCCUUUCUUUUGGACUAGUCAGUGUGUCAACAAGACAAUCCACUUACUUGUGUGAGCAGCUUUCUCAUAUGCAAACCAUAUGGAAUGGGAUAUUUUUUCCCUUGCAUCUUUUUCAAAGAAUGUUGCAAUUAUACCAUAUGUUGAUAUAAAUGAGGAUUAAGGAUAGUAGGUUCGGGUUUAUGUAGUGAGCCUAUUGGCUCAGGUUUAGUGAUUUGUCUC